rnacentral:tRNA from 1 species
UGGCUCAGUUGGUAGAGCAUGGUGUUUGCAAUGCCAGCAUGGUGUGUGCAACGCCAGGGUUGUGGGUUCGAGUCCCAC